rnacentral:rRNA from 1 species
CGGAGGGGCUAGCGUUGUUCGGAAUUACUGGGCGUAAAAGCGCACGUAGGCGGCUUUUAAGUCAGAGGUGAAAGCCCGGGGCUCAACUCCGGAACUGCCUUUGAGACUGGGAGGCUUUGAACGUCGGGAGAGGUGAGUGGAAUUCCGAGUGUAGAGGUGAAAUUCGUAGAUAUUCGGAAGAACACCAGUGGCGAAGGCGGCUCACUGGACGACUGUUGACGCUGAGGUGCGAAAGCGUGGGGAGCAAAACAGGAUU